rnacentral:tRNA from 1 species
AGGAUAAUAGUUAAUAAUAACAUUUAAUUUGCAUUUAAAAAGUAUUGAAAUAAUCAAUUUAUCUUA